GGAUGUGAUGGGGAGCGAAAUUUAGUAGCGAAGUAGCUGAUUUCACACUGUCAAGAAAAGUCUCUAUCGAGGUUAAAGGUACCCGUACCGCAAACCGACACAGGUGGGUGAGGAGAGUAUCCUAAGGCCAGCGAGAGAACUGUUGUUAAGGAACUCGGCAAAAUGACCCCGUAACUUAGGGAUAAGGGGUGCCACCAUCAGGUGGCCGCAGAGAAUAGGCCCAAGCGACUGUUUACCAAAAACAUAGGUUUCUGCUAAGUCGCAAGACGAUGUAUAGGAGCUGACGCCUGCCCGGUGCUGGAAGGUUAAGGGGAUCUGUUAGAGCAAUCGAAGCAGUGAACUUAAGCCCCAGUAAACGGCGGCCGUAACUAUAACGGUCCUAAGGUAGCGAAAUUCCUUGUCGGGUAAGUUCCGACCCGCACGAAAGGCGUAACGAUUUGGGCACUGUCUCAACAACAGACUCGGUGAAAUUGUAAUUCCGGUGAAGAUGCCGGAUACCUGCGACAGGACGGAAAGACCCCAUGGAGCUUUACUGUAGCUUGACAUUGGGUCUUGGUACUACAUGUACAGGAUAGGUGGGAGGCUUUGAAACCAGGACGCCAGUUUUGGCGGAGCCAUCCUUGGGAUACCACCCUUGUAGUA
rnacentral:rRNA from 1 species